rnacentral:rRNA from 1 species
GCGGUAAUACGUAGGGGGCUAGCGUUAUCCGGAUUUACUGGGCGUAAAGGGUGCGUAGGCGGUCUUUCAAGUCAGGAGUGAAAGGCUACGGCUCAACCGUAGUAAGCUCUUGAAACUGGGAGACUUGAGUGCAGGAGCGGAGAGUGGAAUUCCUAGUGUAGCGGUGAAAUGCGUAGAUAUUAGGAGGAACACCAGUUGCGAAGGCGGCUCUCUGGACUGUAACUGACGCUGAGGCACGAAAGCGUGGGGAGCAAACAGGAUUAGAUACCCUGGUAGUCCACGCUGUAAACGA